AGCAGUAGCCGCGGUAAUACGGAGGGAGCUAGCGUUGUUCGGAAUUACUGGGCGUAAAGCGCGCGUAGGCGGUUACUCAAGUCAGAGGUGAAAGCCCGGGGCUCAACCCCGGAACUGCCUUUGAAACUAGGUGACUAGAAUCUUGGAGAGGUCAGUGGAAUUCCGAGUGUAGAGGUGAAAUUCGUAGAUAUUCGGAAGAACACCAGUGGCGAAGGCGACUGACUGGACAAGUAUUGACGCUGAGGUGCGAAAGCGUGGGGAGCAAACAGGAUUAGAUACCCCGGUAGUCCCUGUCUCUUAUAC
rnacentral:rRNA from 1 species